rnacentral:rRNA from 1 species
CGAUAACGAACGAGACCUUGAUCUGCUAACUAGCGACGCCUAUCCUUGAUAGAUGGCACGCUUCUUAGAGAGACUGUACGUGUUGCAACGUACGGAAGCUCGAGGCAAUAACAGGUCUGUGAUGCCCUUGGAUGUUCUGGGCCGCACGCGCGCUACAAUGUCACGGCCAGCGAGUCAGCUGCUUCGGCGGCGUUACCUUGGCUGAUAAGCCUGGGGAAUCUUGUCAGACCGUGACGUGCUGGGAUAGUCCUUUGCAAUUAUCGGACUUGAACGAGGAAUUCCUUGUAAGCGCAAGUCAUCAGCUUGCGCUGAAUCUGUCCCUGCCUUUGUACACACCGCCGUCGCUACUACCGAUUGAAUGGCUA